CUGAGGUAGAUGAGAGAUCAGGAUUGCACUCUUAACUGGUGAGAGGCCUGUUAACAGCUGGGAAUAAACAGUCCCUGAACCUACAGAUGCCCUUUACUCCCACGAUGUACUGCGGAGCCGAACGUCUGGCGGGCUGAGAGCUAAGAGGGACCCGGCGGAGGACCUCCAAGAGCCAUAUGCGGCGGCAAUUCUAGUUCACCGCUGCGAGAAGAUCAGACUACAAAGAACUUUUGAAACAUUGGCGGCGCCAGAAAUGUGUACUGUGUAGGUGAAGUUUGCUGUAAGAUUUUACUGGAUUGUAUGCAAAAGCAAAGAAUUU